rnacentral:rRNA from 1 species
GACGAACGCUGGCGGCGUGCCUAAUACAUGCAAGUCGAGCGGACAGAAGGGAGCUUGCUCCCGGAAGUUAGCGGCGGACGGGUGAGUAACACGUGGGCAACUUACCCUGUAGAUCGGGAUAACAUCGAGAAAUCGGUGCUAAUACCGGAUAAUCAUUUGAAGUGCAUGCUUCGAAUGUAAAAGAUGGCUCCGGCUAUCACUACGGGAUGGGCCCGCGGCGCAUUAGCUAGUUGGUAAGGUAAUGGCUUACCAAGGCAACGAUGCGUAGCCGACCUGCGAGGGGGAUCGGCCACACUGGGACUGAGACACGGCCCAGACUCCUACGGGAGGCAGCAGUAGGGAAUCUUCCGCAAUGGACGAAAGUCUGACGGAGCAACGCCGCGUGGGUGAUGAAGGUUUUCGGAUCGUAAAGCUCUGUUGUUAGGGAAGAACAAGUGACGUUUGAAUAAGGCGGCACCUUGACGGUACCUAACCAGAAAGCCACGGCUAACUACGUGCCAGCCGCCGCCGUAAAAC